CGACCUACGGGGGGCAGCAGUGAGGAAUAUUGGUCAAUGGUCGGGAGACUGAACCAGCCAAGCCGCGUGAGGGAUGAAGGUACAGAGUAUCGUAAACCUCUUUUGUCAGGGAACAAAGGCGGGGACGCGUCCCCGGAUGAGUGUACCUGAAGAAAAAGCAUCGGCUAAAUCCGUGCCAGCAGCCGCGGUAAUACGGAGGAUGCGAGCGUUAUCCGGAUUUAUUGGGGUUAAAGGGGGCGCAGGCGGUCUGUUAAGUCAGCGGUCAAAGCCAGGGGGUCAAACCCGGCCCGCCGGUUAAACUGGCG
rnacentral:rRNA from 1 species